rnacentral:rRNA from 1 species
CCUACGGGAGGCAGCAGUGAGGAAUAUUGGUCAAUGGGCGUAAGCCUGAACCAGCCAAGUCGCGUGAGUGAUGAAGGUUCUCUGGAUCGUAAAUCUCUUUUAUAAGGGAAUAAAGUGCGGGACGUGUCCCGUUUUGUAUGUACCUUAUGAAUAAGGAUCGGCUAACUCCGUGCCAGCAGCCGCGGUAAUACGGAGGAUACGAGCGUUAUCCGGAUUUAGUGGGUUUAAAGGGUGCGUAGGCGGGCUUUUAAGUCAGCGGUGAAAGUCUGUGGCUCAACCAUAGAAUUGCCGUUGAAACUGGGAGGCUUGAGUAUGUUUGAGGCAGGCGGAAUGCGAGGUGUAGCGGUGAAAUGCGUAGAGAUCACGCGGAAUACCGAUGGCGAAGGCAGCCUGCCAGGCCAUGACUGACGCUGAUGCACGAAAGCGUGGGGAUCAAACAGGAUUAGAUACCCGAGUAGUC